UACGUAGGCAGCAAGCGUUGUUCGGAGUUACUGAGCGUAAAGGGUGCGUAGGCGGCCCUGUAAGUAUGGUGUGAAAUCUCCCGGCUUAACUGGGAGGGUGCGCUAUAGACUGCGGGGCUCGAGUGUGGGAGAGGAAAGUGGAAUUCCUGGUGUAGCGGUGAAAUGCGUAGAUAUCAGGAGGAACACCGGUGGUGUAAACGCUUUCUGGACCAUAACUGACGUGAGGCACGAAAAGCGUGGGUAGCAAACAGG
rnacentral:rRNA from 1 species